GACGAACGCUGGCGGCAUGCCUAACACAUGCAAGUCGAACGGAACUUUGAGAAUGAAGUUUUCGGAUGGAUUUUUUAAAGUUUAGUGGCGGACGGGUGAGUAACGCGUGAGCAACCUGCCUUUCAGAGGGGGACAACAGUUGGAAGCGACUGCUAAUACCGCAUAAUGUAUCGAGAUCGCAUGACCUUGAUACCAAAGAUUAUAUCGCUGAAAGAUGGGCUCGCGUACGAUUAGAUAGUUGGUGAGGUAACGGCUCACCAAGUCGACGAUCGUUAGCCGGACUGAGAGGUUGAACGGCCACAUUGGGACUGAGACACGGCCCAGACUCCUACGGGAGGCAGCAGUGAGGAAUAUUGGGCAAUGGGCGCAAGCCUGACCCAGCAAUGCCGCGUGAAGGAAGACGGUUUUCGGAUUGUAAACUUCUUUUAAGAGGGACGAUAAUGACGGUACCUCUUGAAUAAGCCACGGCUAACUACGUGCCAGCCGCCGCAGUAAAAC
rnacentral:rRNA from 1 species